rnacentral:rRNA from 1 species
UAAUUUAAAGUCUAGCCUGCCCAAUGAUUAAUUUAAUGGCCGCGGUAUCUUGACCGUGCUAAGGUAGCAUAAUCAAUAGUUUUUUAAUUGAAAGCUGGAAUGAAGGGUUGGAUAAAAAAGUAGCUGUCUUUAUUUAAUUUAAUUAGAAUUUUAUUUUUAAGUUAAAAAGCUUAAAUUUUAUUAAAAGACGAGAAGACCCUAUAGAGUUUUAUAAUUAUUUUUAUUAAUAUUUUAAGAAUUUAUUUUAUUAAUAAAAAUAAUUAUUAAAUUGGGGUGAUUGAAAAAUUUAAUUAACUUUUUUUACAUAUUUACAUUUAUAAGUGAUUAAUUGAUCCAUAUUUAAUGAUUAUAAGAUUAAAUUACCUUAGGGAUAACAGCGUUAUUUUUUUUAAGAGUUCAAAUCGAAAAAAAAGAUUGCGACCUCGAUGUUGGAUUAAAAUUAAUUUUUGGUGUAGGUGCUAAAAAAUUAGGUCUGUUCGACCUUUAAAAUUUUACAU